rnacentral:sRNA from 1 species
ACAUUCCCUUACUUCCCUCCCAGCUGGCCAGACGCUUGGGUCCUGGGUGGGGGAAGGCUGAGAGCUCCAGGCUCAGUGUCCCCCCAGGAGAUGGUGGCAGCUGCCCGCCUCGUACCCUUAGGAACCCCCAGGAGGUGGGGGCGGAGAACGUCUCAGCACUGAAGGCACUGGCAUUGGCAUCGGUUUCUAUGGCAACAGUGAGACCAGUGAUGGGGUGUCCCAGCUCAGCUCCGCGCUGCUGCACGCCAACCACACACUCAGCACCAUUGACCACCUGGUGUUAGAGACGGUGGAGAGGCUGGGCGAGGCGGUGAGGACAGAGCUGACCACCCUGGAGGAGGUGCUCGAGCCGCGCACGGAGCUGGUGGCUGCCGCCCGAGGGGCUCGGCGGCAGGCGGAGGCUGUGGCCCAGCAGCUGCAGGGGCUGGCCUUCUGGCAGGGAGUGCCCCUGAGCCCCCUGCAGGUGGCUGAAGAUGUGUCGUUCGUGGAGGAGUACAGGUGGCUGGCCUACGUCCUCCUGCUGCUCCUGGAGCUGCUGGUCUGCCUCUUCACCCUCCUG